rnacentral:rRNA from 1 species
AGAUUGAACGCUAGCGGGAUGCUUUACACAUGCAAGUCGAACGGCAGCGCGGACUUCGGUCUGGCGGCGAGUGGCGAACGGGUGAGUAAUAUAUCGGAACGUGCCCAGUAGCGGGGGAUAACUACGCGAAAGCGUGGCUAAUACCGCAUACGCCCUACGGGGGAAAGGGGGGGAUUCUUCGGAACCUCUCACUAUUGGAGCGGCCGAUAUCAGAUUAGCUAGUUGGUGAGGUAAAGGCUCACCAAGGCGACGAUCUGUAGCUGGUUUGAGAGGACGACCAGCCACACUGGGACUGAGACACGGCCCAGACUCCGUACGGGAGGCAGCGAGUGGGAAUUUGGACAAGUGGGGAAACCUGAUCCAGCCAUCCCGCGUGUGCGAUGAAGGCCUUCGGGUUGUAAG